rnacentral:rRNA from 1 species
UACGUAGGCAGCGAGCGUUGUUCGGAAUUACUGGGCGUAAAGAGUGUGUAGGCGGUGUUCCCAGUCUGUUGUGAAAUCUCCCGGCUUAACUGGGAGGGUGCAGCGGAAACUAGAAUGCUAGAGCAUUGGAGAGGGUAGCAGAAUUCAUGGUGUAGCAGUGAAAUGCGUAGAUAUCAUGAGGAAUACCAGAGGCGAAGGCGGCUACCUGGACAAUUGCUGACGCUCAGGCACGAAAGCGUGGGGAGCAAAAGGG